AAUAGAUGCAAACUACUGUAUUUGUAACGGAUAAGCAAUGAGAUCCUGCUGUAUAGCACAGGGAACUAUAUCCAGUCACUUGUGAUGGAACACGAUGGAGGAUAAUGUGAGAGAAAGAAUAUACAUGUAUGUAUGACUGGGUCACUUUGCUGUACAGUAGAAAUUGACAAAACACUGUAAAUCAACUAUAAUGGAAAAUUUAAAAUAAAUACAUAAAUUAAAUAAUAAUAAAAGUAAUACCUGUCUGAUCAUGUUGUAAGGAAAUUGAGUUGAUUUAUACAAAACUUGGCAAAUAUCAAGUGCUUGGAAAAUAUGAAGUUAUAUAAAAAGAAUAAACUUCUCCAAUCACUGUAAUCCCACUAAUGCUGAGCCCACAUAAUAGCCUAUAUCAGUAGCAACAGUAGUAAAAGUAAUUAUUUUUAUAGCGAUUGUUUUUUAUUUUUAAAUUUUAAAAAAUUUUAUACAAUUUUGAAAUGUUACUUUCCACUUACAGUUAUUACAAAAUAUUGACUGUACUCUCUGUGUUUUACAAUACAUCCUUGAGCCUAUCUUACAUCCAAUAAUCUGUACUGCCCACUUCCCUACUCCAUCCCUAUAUUAUAAUAGCAAUUGUUUUAAGCUAGCCCCUUAUAACCAUCAUCCUUGAAUGAACAGUAUCAGUCAGUUCUAGGAAAUUCUUUUCUUUCCAUAUGCAGUCACAUUGGAGCUGCCAAUCAUGGUGUCCCUUUUUUCACAGUGUUUUAGAUUAGCCAAGUGAUGCAGACUGGCUCAGAUGCAAUACUGCAUCUCCUAGACACAAAAUUAUCCUCUAAGAUGACAUGUUCAGUCCAGGUAAUUUCCCUGAAAUUUUCUAAAUAGGAAGUGAAUUAAGGUAGCUCUUAAUUACUCUUGGAUAGAAAGCUCUAAAAAUGUAGAAGUAAAGUCAUACGAGAUUUUGUUUCUGCUAUAUGGCAAUAUAUGGUCUGAGAGGAUUGAGGAGAAGCUUAUGGUAUUGGUUGCCCAAUUCCAGUCCUUAAAACCCAGCUUUUAGUUCUUUUGAUUUUAUUUUUAGCUAUUUCAUUAUUUUUCCCAGUCAUGUUCAUAACAAAAUUCCAUUUUUUUCUUAAGCUAAGAAUAGUGAUGUUUCAUUACUCUCAACCAGACAUGACUGGAACAAGGUAGGAUGUAAUUAUAGCUAAUGAGUACUGUACAGUUUUGAGAAAUGGCUUAUAGAGAGCAAGUCAUAGAAAGAAAUUCUGAGAGACCCUCAGAGAUCUUUAAGACCAAUGCCUUCUUAGUUAUAGAUGAGUAAAUUGGUCUUAGAGAGGGUGUGUUAGCUUAUGAUUUCAAGAAUCCAGCUGGCUAUUUCAGGCAGAUCUUAGACAAUACUAAUAUCUAGGGUGAAAAUACAAGGUUUGGAGGAGAAAAAUGAACUACAAGUCCAUCCAUGGUCCAGAGUACAAGAAAUUCUGGGAACUGUUUCUUAUUAAGCAAAUGCAGAAGAUGGAGUUCACAAACCAAAAAUAUCUAUAUAUUAAUUUAGAAUGGGAGAUGAACAUUGAUCAUGGGAUAUGCUGGCCAUCUAAGAAGGCAUCAACUGCCUCUGUAUUCAUCAGUUGUUAUAUAUUAAAAUAUUACCUAAUUCUUCAUCUAAGAUGGCUUUCAAUUGCCUCUGUAUUCAUCAGUUAUUAUAUAUAAAAAUGUUACCUAAUUCUUUAGACAACAGUGUUUUUAAGCAAACAUACCAGGGGGCAAAAAGCACACCCAGCCCCAAGACUUUGGUUUCUACAUAGUAUUCUCUACUAACCAUAUCAGAUAUGGCUGAUUUUGGAGUUGAGGCAGAGAAAUUCAAGAUAAGCCUAGAGUGCCUUAUAAUUUCAGAAAGAAAAGAAGUGCUCAAAAACAAAAAGAUGAGAGUAAUUGUCAAAGGGACAUGAGAAGCCAACAUGAAAGACCCCAAUAACCAAUGCAAUAACAACAACGAAAUCUAAGGAACAAAAUGAAUAAUGCAGGAUAGGGUUAUAAACCAAAGUAUGAAAUAAAGGUACAUGACUCCAUAUAGAUGUGAAUAAAUAAGUAAACAGGAAGAAGAGACAGUUCUUGAAGAAUAUAUCCAAAUAAUUUAUGGAGGUUCUUUCUCCUACAGGUAGGGGAGCUCAAUUUCCAUCCCACCCCUUACAUUUGAGGAUGGGCUAGACUUAAUCACCUGGUUCCAGAAUGUAGAGCAGGGAAUGGGAAGAAUAGUGACAUUUUAGUGCAGAAACCUGGAAAUGCUACCUUAACCAAAUGAUAAAGUUAACACUCUUAGUGAUUUCAUGUGACUGUUAAAACCCAACAUGAUGUAACAAGUAUAGUGUGUUACCUAGCUGGAUUUUUUUAAUGUUUAUUUUUGGCUUUUUAGGGCCGCACCUGGGGCAUAUGGAAGUUCCUAGGCUAGGGGUCGAAUUUGAGCUACAGCUGCUGGCCUACACCACAGACACAGCAACACGGGAUCCAAGCUCAUGGCAAUGCUGAAUCCUUAACCCACUGAGAGAGGCCAGGGAUCAAACCCUCCUCCUCAUGGAUACUAGUCAGGUUUGUUACCACUGAGCCACAACAGGAUCUCCCAAGUUUGCAUUUAUUUAAAAAAUAUAACUCCAGUCUAAUCAUGAGAAAAAGAUAAAACAACCUCAGAUUGGAAGACAUUGUAUAGGAUACAAGUCCAGCAUUCCUCAAAAAGCUCAUGAGGAAAAAAAAAAAAAAAAAAA
ensembl:lncRNA